rfam:Pan troglodytes isolate Yerkes chimp pedigree #C0471 (Clint) chromosome 7, whole genome shotgun sequence.
AUCCUUUUGUAGUUUGUAAGUGUGAUGAUUGGGGUUUCAUGCUCAUGUGUGAGACGUGCCUCCCUCAAAUGUGCUGGGUAUGUCAGCACAUUACCCAUCUGAUG